rnacentral:rRNA from 1 species
UUAAGCGACUAAGCGUACACGGUGGAUGCCCUGGCAGUCAGAGGCGAUGAAGGACGUGCUAAUCUGCGAAAAGCGUCGGUAAGGUGAUAUGAACCGUUAUAACCGGCGAUGUCCGAAUGGGGAAACCCAGUGCAAUUCGUUGCACUAUCGUUAACUGAAUACAUAGGUUAACGAGGCGAACCGGGGGAACUGAAACAUCUAAGUACCCCGAGGAAAAGAAAUCAACCGAGAUUCCCCCAGUAGCGGCGAGCGAACGGGGAGCAGCCCAGAGUCUGAAUCAGCUUGUGUGUUAGUGGAACGGUCUGGAAAGUCCGACGGUACAGGGUGAUAGUCCCGUACACCAAAAUGCACAGGCUGUGAACUCGAAGAGUAGGGCGGGACACGUGGUAUCCUGUCUGAAUAUGGGGGGACCAUCCUCCAAGGCUAAAUACUCCUGACUGACCGAUAGUGAACCAGUACCGUGAGGGAAAGGCGAAAAGAACCCCGGCGAGGGGAGUGAAAAAGAACCUGAAACCGUGUACGUACAAGCAGUGGGAGCACCUUCGGGUGUGACUGCGUACCUUUUGUAUAAUGGGUCAGCGACUUAUAUUCUGUAGCAAGGUUAACCGUAUAGGGGAGCCGCAGGGAAACCGAGUCUUAACUGGGCGUUAAGUUGCAGGGUAUAGACCCGAAACCCGGUGAUCUAGCCAUGGGCAGGUUGAAGGUUGGGUAACACUAACUGGAGGACCGAACCGACUAAUGUUGAAAAAUUAGCGGAUGACUUGUGGCUGGGGGUGAAAGGCCAAUCAAACCGGGAGAUAGCUGGUUCUCCCCGAAAGCUAUUUAGGUAGCGCCUCGUGAAUUCAUCUUCGGGGUAGAGCACUGUUUCGGCUAGGGGGUCAUCCCGACUUACCAACCCGAUGCAAACUACGAAUACCGAAGAAUGUUAUCACGGGAGACACACGGCGGGUGCUAACGUCCGUCGUGAAGAGGGAAACAACCCAGACCGCCAGCUAAGGUCCCAAAGUCAUGGUUAAGUGGGAAACGAUGUGGGAAGGCACAGACAGCCAGGAUGUUGGCUUAGAAGCAGCCAUCAUUUAAAGAAAGCGUAAUAGCUCACUGAUCGAGUCGGCCUGCGCGGAAGAUGUAACGGGGCUAAACCAUGCACCGAAGCUGCGGCAGCGACACUAUGUGUUGUUGGGUAGGGGAGCGUUCUGUAAGCCUGCGAAGGUGACCUGUGAGGGUUGCUGGAGGUAUCAGAAGUGCGAAUGCUGACAUAAGUAACGAUAAAGCGGGUGAAAAGCCCGCUCGCCGGAAGACCAAGGGUUCCUGUCCAACGUUAAUCGGGGCAGGGUGAGUCGACCCCUAAGGCGAGGCCGAAAGGCGUAGUCGAUGGGAAACAGGUUAAUAUUCCUGUACUUGGUGUUACUGCGAAGGGGGGACGGAGAAGGCUAUGUUAGCCGGGCGACGGUUGUCCCGGUUUAAGCAUGUAGGCUGGUUAUCCAGGCAAAUCCGGAUAAUCAAGGCUGAGGUGUGAUGACGAGGCACUACGGUGCUGAAGUAACAAAUGCCCUGCUUCCAGGAAAAGCCUCUAAGCAUCAGGUAACAUUAAAUCGUACCCCAAACCGACACAGGUGGUCAGGUAGAGAAUACCAAGGCGCUUGAGAGAACUCGGGUGAAGGAACUAGGCAAAAUGGUGCCGUAACUUCGGGAGAAGGCACGCUGGUGUGUAGGUGAAGUCCCUGCGGAUGGAGCUGAGACCAGUCGAAGAUACCAGCUGGCUGCAACUGUUUAUUAAAAACACAGCACUGUGCAAACACGAAAGUGGACGUAUACGGUGUGACGCCUGCCCGGUGCCGGAAGGUUAAUUGAUGGGGUUAUCCGUAAGGAGAAGCUCUUGAUCGAAGCCCCGGUAAACGGCGGCCGUAACUAUAACGGUCCUAAGGUAGCGAAAUUCCUUGUCGGGUAAGUUCCGACCUGCACGAAUGGCGUAAUGAUGGCCAGGCUGUCUCCACCCGAGACUCAGUGAAAUUGAACUCGCUGUGAAGAUGCAGUGUACCCGCGGCAAGACGGAAAGACCCCGUGAACCUUUACUAUAGCUUGACACUGAACAUUGAGCCUUGAUGUGUAGGAUAGGUGGGAGGCUUUGAAGCGUGGACGCCAGUCUGCGUGGAGCCAACCUUGAAAUACCACCCUUUAAUGUUUGAUGUUCUAACGUUGGCCCCUGACCGGGGUUGCGGACAGUGUCUGGUGGGUAGUUUGACUGGGGCGGUCUCCUCCCAAAGCGUAACGGAGGAGCACGAAGGUUAGCUAAUCCUGGUCGGACAUCAGGAGGUUAGUGCAAUGGCAUAAGCUAGCUUGACUGCGAGCGUGACGGCGCGAGCAGGUGCGAAAGCAGGUCAUAGUGAUCCGGUGGUUCUGAAUGGAAGGGCCAUCGCUCAACGGAUAAAAGGUACUCCGGGGAUAACAGGCUGAUACCGCCCAAGAGUUCAUAUCGACGGCGGUGUUUGGCACCUCGAUGUCGGCUCAUCACAUCCUGGGGCUGAAGUAGGUCCCAAGGGUAUGGCUGUUCGCCAUUUAAAGUGGUACGCGAGCUGGGUUUAGAACGUCGUGAGACAGUUCGGUCCCUAUCUGCCGUGGGCGCUGGAGAAUUGAGGGGGGCUGCUCCUAGUACGAGAGGACCGGAGUGGACGCAUCACUGGUGUUCGGGUUGUCAUGCCAAUGGCACUGCCCGGUAGCUAAAUGCGGAAGAGAUAAGUGCUGAAAGCAUCUAAGCACGAAACUUGCCCCGAGAUGAGUUCUCCCUGAGACUUUAAGUCUCCUGAAGGAACGUUAAAGACGAUGACGUUGAUAGGCCGGGUGUGUAAGCGCAGCGAUGCGUUGAGCUAACCGGUACUAAUGAACCGUGAGGCUUAACCUU